GACCGCUAAAGCCAAACCUAUCGUAAGGUAGGGGCAGAAAGUCGCGGAUCCUCUCCAGGAAAGCCGGGCUACCGAA
rnacentral:ncRNA from 1 species